CCAAUGCCUUGAUGCACGUUUCAGCAUCGGGGCCAAUAAGGCUAACAUCAUAGUUCGCACUCAUUGCAUCUUCACUCAGUUCAUCACUUAUCAUCCCGAACGACCUGAUAGAAUUUUUAUAAACAUUCUGGCACGUUUUGAGAGCUUCCAGAGUCGCUGGUGAACUCGGCUUCUUCAUCAUUUCGACGAUGACCUUCAGCGUUGUGUGAGCUUUGGCCACCGCUUCUUUCAUGGCGACAUCCAUGAGUUGGUUCACGCUCUUCGCGGC
rnacentral:lncRNA from 1 species